rnacentral:rRNA from 1 species
UACGGAGGGGGCUAGCGUUGUCCGGAAUUAUUGGGCGUAAAGAGCUCGUAGGCGGUCUGUCGCGUCGAAUGUGAAAACCCGGGGCUCAACCCCGGGCCUGCAUUCGAUACGGGCAGACUAGAGUUCGGUAGGGGAGUCUGGAAUUCCUGGUGUAGCGGUGAAAUGCGCAGAUAUCAGGAGGAACACCGAUGGCGAAGGCAGGUCUCUGGGCCGAUACUGACGCUGAGGAGCGAAAGCGUGGGGAGCGAACAGG